rnacentral:misc_RNA from 1 species
UGUAGGAGUGAGCCUGCUCGCGAUAGCGGUGUGUCAGUUGGCAAAUAGGUGGCUGACACUCCGCUAUCGCGAGCAGGCUCACUCCUACA